AAUAAAAUUUAUUUCCGAGUUACUUUUCCUAAGGGCAAACUGUCUAAGGUUAGUGGCCGAUAGGUACCUAGAGAAAUUUUUGUGCCUCCCAACAUUGGAAAGGAAAUAUACUAGCUAUUUA
rfam:Alkaliphilus metalliredigens QYMF, complete genome.